rnacentral:rRNA from 1 species
CGCGUAGGUGGCAGGCCAAGUCUGUGGUGAAAGCGCCCGGCUCAACUGGGCAUGGUCCAUGGAAACUGGUCAGCUGGAGGACGGUAGAGGCGAGUGGAAUUCCCGGUGUAGUGGUGAAAUGCGUAGAGAUCGGGAGGAACACCAGUGGCGAAGGCGGCUCGCUGGGCCGGUCCUGACACUGAGGCGCGAAGGCGUGGGGAGCGAACG